rnacentral:tRNA from 1 species
ACUUAAGUAGUUUAAUAUAAAAUAAUAGUUUGUGGGGCUAUAGAUACGUUAUUGUCUUAAGUA